GUCAAUCUUCAUUAAGGAUCUUAUCAUCUCCUCGAUUCCUACUCUCGCGGACCAUAUAGCCGGCGCCGCCGUCCACAUGUGGUGCCGCACUGCAGCAGCCAACUCCGGGGGCAGGUGGCUGGCCGGCUCCAUCUCCAUAGAUCCCCCCGACUCCUCCAUCUCAUCUUUCCCAAGCAUGCAGCAAACCACCAGUUUGUACGUGCGACGGCGAGGUGGAGCACGACGAUGCAGCAUGCGGCGGCGCGCACGACCAGGAGUAUGGCGGCGCAGAGGCACAACAAGGCGGGCGCAGACCACGACGAGGAGUAGGGCCACGUCGUGGAGGCGAUGACCAUGCCAAGCAGCCAACCGUCAGGGGGAUAGCAACUCCACUCUCUUUGCGACAUUUCAAAGUGUUCUUGAUGAUGAUGAAGAAACUAUGGAUGAGUCCGAGUCUAUCAUAACUGAAGCUUAGUCGGUCAUGCGGUGAAGAAAGAAGAUGAUGCCUAGAAGAAUACCUUCCUUCACUUAUAAUGAGAAUUGUGAUGUACUUAUGUCUCCUGGCUGUAGGAAACUAAGGCUGAUAAAUUCUGUUGGGCUAUUUCUAUGCUAUUUUGUAAGAAAUUAAGACUAAGAAAUUAUG